UNUGCUUCUUAGAGACAAGGCCUCACUCCAU
rnacentral:piRNA from 1 species